CUGAUGUAGGGCUCGAACCCAGGAACUGCGAGAUCAUGACCUGAGCUGAAGUGGGAUGCUUAACUGACUGAGCCACCCAAGCACCCUAGGAUACUUAGCACCCUAGGAUUCUUAACCUCAUCUGACCAGUUCUAGAUUGAAGUAACUUCUGUGGAGUCAUUAUGAAUUUGAAUUUGAGAUAAAAUGGAGUUAAGCUAUUUUAGUUUUUUUCCAGUAUCAGAAGUCAAGGAAUAGUAAUAUUCCAGGAGUGAAUACAUGAAUAUGUACUUUUUUUAACAUAAAUUCUGAGAUUGAGUCUUCCAGUGUUAAUGUAGAGAGAAAUUUGUCUUGUUUGAUCAUAGAUGGUAGUGCGUCUUUUAAGGCAUUGCUAGCAUUGCAAAUGUGUGGAUAUGCUGAGGAGAUAUGACUGGAGCAGUGUGGUUCACCUAGAAGCAGAUUUUGAAAACCGUUUGCAUGCAGUUGUGUAAGGUGUUUCUCACCUUAAUUAUUCUUAUUUCAUUCACGGUCAUGUCUUUUAACUAGUGAGUUUUGAAAUCUAAGUAGUGGCUCUCGGUUAAAAUAAAAGAAUAGAAACUGUCAGUGUGCAUGGCACAUACGAAAGGGAAGUGUUUCAUCACACUAAAUGUGUGUGCCUGUGUGCGUGCAUGUGCACAUGCAUGAGCAGAGUUGAAAUGUAGAGUUAUUUUUAAAGUCUACUUUAUUUGUAAAGUCUACUGUAGAGACUUACACAUAUGGUGCAUUCUGCGAGAGCAUGCACGUAGCGCUCACUUUCUGUCACUGUUCUAGUCAGUGAGGUGCUGUAACUUCCUGGUUUCUCAUCACCCUCAGAGGCAUACUUAUACUUUUUACGAUCUUUAUCUUACUCCUUUGAUUAUAGAAACUGUCUCUCAUUUAGGAUUCUCUAGAAUUCCUUUCUCCAGUUAGAAAAAUAAGAGUUUGAUUUUCACAGGAUACGUGUGGAAUCACUCUGUAGUCUGAUGGUCAUUGGUCUGAACAGUGGGUUUGGAGAAUUAAAGGUGUUUCAGAGUGACAGUGACUCUGGACAGGUCAUUUAAUCAGAAGCCAUGCUGAGACUUUUUGGUGGGCUGAUACAUUGUGGACAGCUCUUAUUUCCUGCAUUGGAUUGGGUUUCUGAUUGCGAGUAUUUAUUUACUUAUUACAUAAUUGUGGUCAAACUAAAAGGUCAGUAGUAAGUCCUAACUUCUCUUUUAUCUUGUCAAAGUGGUAAACUUGGUUUUCAAACAGUAAAGGAUUCAUGAGCUCUCUUAGAAGUUUGAAGAAUUGUACCUUUUUCCGGUCCUUUGAAAGGCAAACUAAAAGACUGUAAAUAGACAAUGUAGGCUGUGUCCAAGGACUGAAAUGACAGUUAAGGAAAAAAAACCCUGCAGAAGGUUACUGAAGUUCAGGGAAGGCGUCAUGACUGCGGAGGUCACUUGCAAGGCUUUGGAUUAUUUUUAAUUGAUGCAUGCUUUUACAGAAAUGUCUUCUCCAAGAGGAACGUUAAGAAUUUUCAGUUUCACA